rnacentral:rRNA from 1 species
GGACCAUCAUGUCGGUCGUGCCUCGGUACGUACUGGCAUCGUCGGUUUCUCCCUUCUGACGAACCAUGAUGUCAUUUAUUUUGGUGUCGUGGGGAAUCAGGACUGUUACUUUGAAAAAAUUAGAGUGUUUAAAGCAGGCUCACGCUUGAAUACAUUAGCAUGGAAUAAUGAAAUAGGACGUUUGAUUCUAUUUUGUUGGUUUCUAGGAUCGACGUA